CAGUUCUUUGACCAUAUCUUCAGGUACCAAAGUCUCUCUUUCAUUAACAUAAAUUAGGUCAAGAGAAAUCUUUCCUGUUGCAGGAUCAGUUGCAUAAUCCUUAAUAGCGGUCUUAAUCAAGCGAGCAGCUUCAAGAACAUCUCCUACCUCAACAACGUUGCGAAGAUGCAUUUUCGCAUGGGCCUCAGAUAGACGAAUCAUUGAUUCCAGUUGUCUUGUUGUAGCAGUAAUUCUUUUCUCAGAUGCUCGCACAUCC